rnacentral:rRNA from 1 species
UGAGGAAUAUUGGACAAUGGGCGCAAGCCUGAUCCAGCCGUGCCGCGUGCAGGAAGAAGCAUCUAUGGUGUGUAAACUGCUUUUGUACGGGAAGAAACACUCCUACGUGUAGGAGCUUGACGGUACCGUAAGAAUAAGGAUCGGCUAACUCCGUGCCAGCAGCCGCGGUAAUACGGAGGAUCCAAGCGUUAUCCGGAAUCAUUGGGUUUAAAGGGUCCGUAGGCGGUUUAAUAAGUCAGUGGUGAAAGCCCAUCGCUCAACGAUGGAACGGCCAUUGAUACUGCUAGACUUGAAUUACAAGGAAGUAACUAGAAUAUGUAGUGUAGCGGUGAAAUGCUUAGAUAUUACAUGGAAUACCAAUUGCGAAGGCAGGUUACUACUUGUGGAUUGACGCUGAUGGACGAAAGCGUGGGGAGCGAACA